ensembl:lncRNA
GGUGUACCCGUCUCCGGAGCCUGACCAGAAGACCGCUUUGUUUGCCCCUUUUACGGCGACGUUGUUUAGGUUCGCCGGCUGGGAUCCGAUCCAUUGUCCUGGGUUGGAAGGCAAAACACAGGAUCCGCUUCAGGAAAGUCAUAUUCCUGGUCGUAAUGACGAUCACGUAUAACCACAACAGCCCAGGACCUCCACAUCUGGCUUCUUCACCUGUGGGAUCGUCUGAGACUAGCCACCCGGACAGCUGAUGAAACUGUGGGUUUGCGCAACCGAAGAAUUUCUGCACAAACUGUCAGAAACCGUCUCAGGGAAGUCAUCUGCGCGCUCGUCGUCCUCACCAGGGUCUUGACCUGACUGCAGUUCGGAGUCGUAACCGACUGCAGUGGGAAAAUGCUCACCUUCUAUGGCCACUGGCACACUGGAGAUGUGUGCUCUUUUCUGAUCCACGCCCCUACCUUUUUUAAGGGGAUCAAAGUAUAUAAGAGAGGUGACAAGGGUGACCCAGGAUUUAAAGGGGACCAGGUAAAUGAGGCUUUAAAGGCAGAGGAUGGGCAUCAGGGCUGCUGGGUAAUGUUGGACCAGUGGGCACCCCUGGAUUUCCUGGAACCAGAGGUGACAGAGGUCCUACCGGUGGAGAAAGCAUUGAUAGACCUAGAGGCGAUAAGGGAGAGAUUGGGAAAUCAGGAAAGAGAGGAGCUGAAGGAGACCUGGUAUUAAGGGGAGGCCAGGAAUUCCAGGACUCACUGGACUAAAAGGGCUGAAGGUGAAACUUUUACUUCAGGGUGCAGUCUUGCCACACUUGGACGUGCUGAUAUUACCAAUAGAGGGCCAGAAUUCAAGUGAAAACUCGAGAAAAAUGGAAUGGAAUGGAACAGGUCUUUCUUCACUUAGGGACUUCCAAGGCCAUCUUGGGGGUAGGGGACUGGAUGGAACACAUGGACCCCAUUGUAUCCCAUUGUCCUGUGCCAGAGAUGGUCCUGUGUCUAAUAUACUCAGAGGUGUCACACACAUACUGUAUGUGGUUUGACCAUGAUCCCUGCCCUCUAGGGACCCAUCGGAGGAACUGCAUCUGACGGGAAUUCCGGAUCUACCAGACUAAGGGUGGACUCCAAGGAUGAUUAAUGGAAAAAGGAUGCACUUGAGAUCAAUUUUGAGGCUCAUAGUAAAGGGUCUGGAGCAACAGGGAUUCAAGGUCCAGUUGGGAAGAGUGGGGAUUCUGGAAGUAGAGGAAUCACUGGCAACCAGGAAAGCCAGGAGUCAAGGGUGCCAAAGGCAAAGAGGGUUCUAAUGGGCUUCCAGGGAAUCCUGGAGUUAAGGGAAUCCGAGGUCAGGAGGGUCUAAGGGGGAAACAAGGAAGCACAGGCCUACAGGGAUUGACAGGGAUACAGGGAUAUAGAGGAGCUCAUGGCAUAGCAGACAAUAUAGGACCAUGGGGUGAGGUGGGCCUCCAAGGGCCACCAUGGAAGAAGGGGCCCCCAGGACCAGUUGGGCCCCGUGGAGUUAUAGGUUACCCAGGUAAAGACGGACCACCCGGAGGCAUUGGGCCAGUGACAGACAAAGGGGAUAAGGGGUCCAGAGGAGCUAUUGGACAGAAGGGAGUUGCUGGUGUCGAUGGUGAGGAGGGCCCAACUGGAUUACGGGGGCCAGUGGGGCCACCAGGACUAAAGGGACUACCGGGUGAAAAGGGGAAGAUGGGAGCUCGUGGGGAAAGAGGUGAAAAAUGAAUCCAGGGAGAUGGAGGCAACCAAGGUCAACAAGGACCAAAGGGCCCACUGGGAAAGAAGGAUACUCAGGGCCCUCAGGGGACAGAGGGAGCAAAUGAGUUCCAGGACUAAAGGGCCAGUAGGGCAUCAGAGGCCCAUCAGGCCUAGCUGGGCACUAUGGACCAGGGGGCAACACCGGAGAAGGAGGGGCCAAAGGAGAGAAGGGGCUCCCUGGAACCAUAGGGCCUCCUGGAAGGUUUGGGCCUACAGGCUUAGUGGGACCAAAAUGAUCAACAGUCCAAGAAGGAAGAAAGGGGACAUUGGGAAAGAGGGGGUUAACCGGGUCUCCAGGAGGUAAAGGCAGACCUGGGCCUGCUGGUCCCCUUGGAGAGAAAGGUGGUAAAGGAAUAGAAGGGCCAAAGCCCAGGAAAGAAAGGAACAAGGGAGUUAGAGGCAAACCGGGAGAAGGCCCAUUGGGACCGGAUGGACCAGUUGGAAGACCUGGAAAGCCAGGACUUGCUGGUUUGGAUGGAUUGUUGGGGGUUGAAGGAAACGAAGGAGAUAAUGGUGAUAUUGGUUACAGAGGAACCCCUGGGAGGCCAGGUAUGCCAGGGAAAAUGGGUCAAAUUGGACGAACUGUAUUUGACCAAUUGAGAUACCCAACGAAGGGUAAUCUUGGAUCUAAAGGAAAACAAGCACCUGCAGGGCCAAUGGGGCAAAGGGCUAUUCCAGGGCUUGGAGGAGAGAAGGGGACAUUUGGCCAGCAUGGCUCAAAGGGUCAGAGGCCUACAGGGACAUAUUGGACCACGUAGAGUUAAAGGGAAUCCAGGACUGCAAGGGAAUAAAGGGCGGCUAGGUUCAAAAGGCAUACAGGGAGACAUUGGUCCUCGCAGUCCACCUGGGAAAAAGGGCUUCCCUGGUCAACCUGAUCUGUUAGGAAAGAGAGGAUACAAGGUAUGCCUGGAGCUAAGGGGGUGAGAGGGGAAAUCAGGUCCUCCUGGCCGUCCAAGAAAUAGGCGACCUGAAUCCCUUGGAAAAAAAGAAUAAGAUUUUAAAAACAAAACCGGACCAUGACCAGGAGAACGCUUGACUCUGACCAUCACUCAAGCAGCUCCUUCAGCUGGCCUCAGGGCACCAAAGACAGCCCUGCAACAAGCUGGGGCUGAUUCAUCCACACCUGCAGGAUGGAAACUUUUAUGUGGACCCUAAGCAGGGCUGCCUGUUUGAUGCCCUGCAAGUGUACCUGUAACUUCACUGUAGGAGGGAUGACCUGUAUACCUCCUGUGUUGUCACAAGUGGAGGUACGAGUAUGGGGGAGCACAGAGAUCCAUAGAGGGGACUUGGAGCUGUUGCCCCUCAGGGAUGUUAGUGCGGAGGGAAGGGGAGAUCACUGGGACACAGACCUCAGAGCUGUCCUGAGACCUUUGUGCUUUUUGUAGCCUCCAUUUAUCCAGAGAGAAGAAGCAAGCACUGCCCAGUGUAUGGGGCAAGAUCAUUUGGCUGCAAUUCCUCAUCAGGACAAAAGAAUGUUGUCUCAUCAUGUUGUCUGUUCGCUGCAGCGCUUAUGUAUAAUUGCGAUAACAACUAGCUGUACUGUAUGAUGAAAUAUGUAUUUUGGAGAGAUUGAUAUAAUGUGUAUUUUAUAAAGAAAAAUAUAUAGCUGUUGUGUUGUUUGUAUCUCCUGCAUAUCGAUUAUUUUUUAUUUAUUCAUUUCUCAGUGAUGUACUGUGUGUGCUAAUAUAUGCUUCAUAUUUGAUUAAUGUGGAUGUUUUAAGAAUGUAAUGUACUCAUUUGUAUUUUAUUGUUUAAGUGUUUGUAAAUAUAUCUUUGCUAAUAUUUUAUCUCUUGUUUUUUAUUCUUGCAAACGAAUACCAGAAAACUUGAUGACCUCCCAUAUCUGGAUGGUCUAAACUUGUUGUACAUUG